rnacentral:rRNA from 1 species
UCGAACGAUGAAGCCCUUCGGGGUGGAUUAGUGGCGAACGGGUGAGUAACACGUGGGCAAUCUGCCCUUCACUCUGGGACAAGCCCUGGAAACGGGGUCUAAUACCGGAUACCACUCCUGCCUGCAUGGGCGGGGGUUGAAAGCUCCGGCGGUGAAGGAUGAGCCCGCGGCCUAUCAGCUUGUUGGUGGGGUAAUGGCCUACCAAGGCGACGACGGGUAGCCGGCCUGAGAGGGCGACCGGCCACACUGGGACUGAGACACGGCCCAGACUCCUACGGGAGGCAGCAGUGGGGAAUAUUGCACAAUGGGCGAAAGCCUGAUGCAGCGACGCCGCGUGAGGGAUGACGGCCUUCGGGUUGUAAACCUCUUUCAGCAGGGAAGAAGCGAAAGUGACGGUACCUGCAGAAGAAGCGCCGGCUAACUACGUGCCAGCAGCCGCGGUAAUACGUAGGGCGCAAGCGUUGUCCGGAAUUAUUGGGCGUAAAGAGCUCGUAGGCGGCUUGUCACGUCGGAUGUGAAAGCCCGAGGCUUAACCUCGGGUCUGCAUUCGAUACGGGCUAGCUAGAGUGUGGUAGGGGAGAUCGGAAUUCCUGGUGUAGCGGUGAAAUGCGCAGAUAUCAGGAGGAACACCGGUGGCGAAGGCGGAUCUCUGGGCCAUUACUGACGCUGAGGAGCGAAAGCGUGGGGAGCGAACAGGAU